rnacentral:rRNA from 1 species
AUUGAACGCUGGCGGCAUGCCUUACACAUGCAAGUCGAACGGCAGCACGGGAGCAAUCCUGGUGGCGAGUGGCGAACGGGUGAGUAAUAUAUCGGAACGUGCCCAGUCGUGGGGGAUAACGCAGCGAAAGCUGUGCUAAUACCGCAUACGAUCUAUGGAUGAAAGCGGGGGAUCGCAAGACCUCGCGCGAUUGGAGCGGCCGAUAUCAGAUUAGGUAGUUGGUGGGGUAAAGGCCCACCAAGCCGACGAUCUGUAGCUGGUCUGAGAGGACGACCAGCCACACUGGAACUGAGACACGGUCCAGACUCCUACGGGAGGCAGCAGUGGGGAAUUUUGGACAAUGGGCGCAAGCCUGAUCCAGCAAUGCCGCGUGCAGGAUGAAGGCCUUCGGGUUGUAAACUGCUUUUGUACGGAACGAAGAGGCUCUGGUUAAUACCUGGGGCUCAUGACGGUACCGUAAGAAUAAGCACCGGCUAACUACGUGCCAGCAGCCGCCGCAGUAA